rnacentral:rRNA from 1 species
GAUGAACGCUGGCGGCGUGCCUAAUACAUGCAAGUCGAGCGAACAGACGAGGAUCUUGCUCCUCUGACGUUAGCGGCGGACGGGUGAGUAACACGUGGAUAACCUACCUAUAAGACUGGGAUAACUUCGGGAAACCGGAGCUAAUACCGGAUAAUAUAUUGAACCGCAUGGUUCAAUAGUGAAAGACGGUUUUGCUGUCACUUAUAGAUGGAUCCGCGCCGCAUUAGCUAGUUGGGAAGGUAACGGCUUACCAAGGCGACGAUGCGUAGCCGACCUGAGAGGGUGAUCGGCCAGACUGGAACUGAGACACGGUCCAGACUCCUACGGGAGGCAGCAGUAGGGAAUCUUCCGCAAUGGGCGAAAGCCUGACGGAGCAACGCCGCGUGAGUGAUGAAGGUCUUCGGAUCGUAAAACUCUGUUAUUAGGGAAGAACAAAUGUGUAAGUAACUAUGCACGUCUUGACGGUACCUAAUCAGAAAGCCACGGCUAACUACGUG